rnacentral:snRNA from 13 species
AUACUUACCUGGCAGGGGAAACACCACGAUCAGGCAGGUGGUUUUCCCAGAGCGAGGCUCAUCCCCUGCACUCCGGGUGUGCUGACCCUACGCUUUCCCCAAAUGCAAUUCUGUGUUUUAGAC